GCCCUUAGAGUUUGAUCCUGGCUCAGGAUGAACGCUAGCGACAGGCUUAACACAUGCAAGUCGAGGGGCAGCACGAUGUAGCAAUACAUUGGUGGCGACCGGCGCACGGGUGAGUAACGCGUAUGCAACCUACCUAUCAGAGGGGAAUAACCCGGCGAAAGUCGGACUAAUACCGCAUAAAACAGGGGUUCCACAUGGAAAUAUUUGUUAAAGAAUUAUCGCUGAUAGAUGGGCAUGCGUUCCAUUAGAUAGUUGGUGAGGUAACGGCUCACCAAGUCCACGAUGGAUAGGGGUUCUGAGAGGAAGGUCCCCCACACUGGUACUGAGACACGGACCAGACUCCUACGGGAGGCAGCAGUGAGGAAUAUUGGUCAAUGGGCGAGAGCCUGAACCAGCCAAGUCGCGUGAAGGAUGAAGGAUCUAUGGUUUGUAAACUUCUUUUAUAUGGGAAUAAAGUGAGGAACGUGUUCCUUUUAGUAUGUACCAUAGAAUAAGCAUCGGCA
rnacentral:rRNA from 1 species